AAUCUUCCGAAAUGGACGAAAGUCUGACGGCGCAACGCCUUGUGAGUGAUGAAGGGUCGCGGUUCGUAAAAUUCUGUUCUUAGGGAAGAAUAAGUAUCGGAGUAACUGCUGAUACCUUGACGGUACCUGACGAGAAAGCCACGGCUAACUCGUUGCCACAAGCCGUGGUAAGACGUAGGUGGCAAUCGUUGUCCGGAUUUAUUGGGCGUAAAGCGCGCGCAGGCGGUCUUUUAAGUCUGAUGUGAAAUCUUACAGCUUAACUGUAAGCGGUCAUUUGAAUCUGGGAGACUUGAGUGCAGAAGAGGAGAGUGGAAUUCCAUAUGUAGCGGUGAAAUGCGUAGAAAUAUGGAGGAACACCAGUGGCGAAGGCGACUCUCUGAUCUGUAACUGACGCUGAGGCGCGAAAGCGUGGGGAUCAAACA
rnacentral:rRNA from 1 species